AACGCUGCUAGAGAGGUCUGUGUGUUGCUGUUGGUGUCGGUAGGCUCCACAGUCUUUACACCAUGGUGCGAAUCAGCGUUUUGAACGAUGCGUUGAAGAACAUGUUCAACGCGGAGAAGCGGGGAAAGCGGCAGGUGCUGUUGCGGCCCUCAUCCAAGGUCGUCAUCAAGUUCUUGUCCGUGAUGCAGAAGCACGGUAUGCAUCACGAUCUGAUUUUUUUUUGUGUGGCUACGGUUUAUUAGGAUUGAUUGCGUUUCUGGACUCGGUGAAUGUUGAUCGCGAGGUAUUGCUCAUUUUCAAUCCAGAUUUUUAGGGUUUCAUUGGCUGAACUAUUCCUGUAGUUAUGGUGACUACAUUUAACUCGUCGUUUUUCGGCAUCCUCAUUUAUUGCGUCCAUGCCUGAAUACUUGAAUGUAUGCAAAUCUAUUCGUUAUAUAUAUAUAUAUAUAUAUAUUUUCUUAGCUUGUGGUUGGAAACUGAAUUGAAAAGCGUUUCUUUUUCUUUUUCUUUUUUUCUUCUGUAUAAGAGUGGUCCAUCUCUGUGUUAUCAGUAUUGUAUUGCGAGGAAUUACAAGAAUGAUGCUGUUUACUUCUGAAUUUUUUCAGGGUACAUUGGGGAGUUCGAACUGGUUGAUGACCAUCGAGCUGGCAAGAUUGUGGUAGAGCUCAACGGUAGAUUGAACAAGUGUGGUGUAAUCAGUCCUCGUUACAACGUCGGAGUUGGUGAAUUGGAAGCAUGGACUGCUCGGCUCCUACCAUCUCGUCAGGUUUGUGGUCCGAUCCUCAAAGUUUGAUUUCGUACCUAGCACUUGCAUUCGUAUAAAUGCAUCAGAUUUAGUAUCUAUCUCGAGUACCUAAUACCUUGAGACGAGAUCUAGAUUUAUUUUUGAACUUCCCUUACUGGCUAUUGUUUUUUAGCUCCAGAUCUUCUCCGCACGAUUUGUGCAGAGUUAGAGUGCUAAAACUGUUCACAAAUAAAUUUGAACUGUUUGGACUUGGUGAUUGAAGUUGUCGCACGACAUGUAACUUACCCUUCUAGUGCAGGAUUUCGAGUAGUAUAAACGUACAAGUAAAUCAGAAUGUUCGACCAUGUCAUUUACUGUUUGUCCUGUUGUGCAGUUUGGCUACAUUGUAUUGACGACCUCAGCUGGUAUUAUGGAUCACGAUGAGGCUAGGCGUAAGAACGUAGGAGGAAAGGUCUUAGGAUUCUUCUAUUAAGAUGAUCCAGUGUCACAUAUCUGGACCAUCGCAGGUCACAAGGUUUGCCUGCAAUUUUUUGAGAAAGUAUUU
rnacentral:lncRNA from 1 species